rnacentral:misc_RNA from 1 species
UCUGCUAUCGUUCGGCUUGUCGGCCUGGCUGUCUGGAACAGUGUCCCCCUCAUGUGCCAGCUGUGGUUCAAAGUCACAAAGGAAGUACAACUUACGGAAAUCCAGGCACGUGUGGACAUGCUAAAGGAGAGUCAUGACAGAAGUUAUCCGACAAUCCAAGAUGGCGAAGUACCAAAAGUACAUUGAUGCAAGUCGUAAAGGGAUCAAGUUCAUGGCUGACAACCUGGACGAAAAUGGUCAGUUCACUGGGGAGGAUGUCAGGUACGACAUCGACUCCAUGUACAAACUGCCCAACCAACUACUCCUCGAUGGCAGACCGAGAGAGGCCAACCGACUGCUCAACAAUCUGAAGAAGAACUUCUUGCAGCAAAACGGAGACUUUCUGUCUUUUCCGGAGAAAACCGGUUGGGAGCGGAAAACGAGUGACUGGCACGUGACCUAUAACUGGCCAUACGUGAACGCUUGGAUUUGUAUGGCUGCCCAGAAGGCGGGGAGAUUCGACAUUUCAUUCCCAUCCUUCAACUAUCUGAAGACGUUCUGGAACCCAAAUCUGGGAGCGUUCAACUGGUGUGAGCCGUACGACGCAGCCAAAGAGGGGAAAGGCGUGGACCAGUCCAGCUGCAUCUUCCUCAACUCGCACCUGGGCUUCACCUGCCUCUACUUCGGAGAUCUGGACAAAGCGAGAUCAACUGGGGAUGCUAUCAUCAAAGCGUUUGACGGUCAGCCCAACCUUGACGAAGGCCUGUACAUGAAGAUUUCAGGCGACAAGGGCGAGGUAGUCACCGAAGGCUGGGGCGAGGAUCCCAAGAAGACGCUCUUCUUCGUCGUCAAGAGGAAGGUAGGGGGUCAGAUGUACUGGCAGCUCGGUUAUCCGAUCAUAUUCCUGUACAAGCUGCACCUGGCGACGGGAGAACAGCGCUACCUCGAGUACUCCAAGAAGGUCGCCGACUUUGCCCACUCCUGCCAUAGCGACGUCCUCACCUACGACAAGAGCCACAAGGUGAUGUACGGGGCGGGGCUUCUUGCAGCGGCCACAAAGGAGGAGAAGUAUAAAAAGAUGGCGGAAACCAUCGCAGACAGCAUCCUCGGUCAUCAGGGGAAAGAUGGACGCUGGCUGCCCGAAUGCCCAAUUCUGGACAUAUUUGAUCAGACAUCAGAAAAUGCGGGCUGGUACAGAGAAAUGUUCGUGGAAUUCGACGCGUUUGAGCAGGAUUAGAAGGUUAACGUUGAACAGUUGUGUUGUGUUCGACGCGUUUGAGCAGGAUUAGAAGUUUUACGUUGAACAGUUGUGUUGACAUGUUGUUAUUUUCAAUUUCUUUCUCAGAAAGGGUAAAAAAGAAUUGAGAACAUGUAGGAACAUAACCCAAAUGCGUAUUUUCAGCAUUCAAUUUACGCUCUUGUUUUUAAUAUAAUGUCAUGUUAUGACAAUCUUUUUCAUCAGUUCGUGUGUAUACUUGAUUGACACAUUAUCAUGUGAUUGAUAAUGUGAUGCUGUCCUGUAUAUGACCUUACAUGUGCCCAAUAAAUCCUCGCUUCACAUA